GAGUGGCAUGAUGGACUCGUCCCUGGGAAGUUGACCAUUCGGGAACCACGGCCCUCGAAGUCAUGGUACCUCAGUCUCAGUGGGAUCUUCCUUUCCUAAAUGAGGAACGGGACUCAAAGAGGAACACCCCAAGGUCAUACAGCGAGUCUGUGGCUAGGCAUGGGCUUCACCCAGCUCCUUCCUCUGGAAAAGGCCCAAGAGGAGGACCCAGCUGCAGCUCAAGAUGUGGAUGGAGACCUCUGGGGGAGGGGAGGCAGGGGAGUCUGACUUCAAGCUUCUUGCAUCAGCCUCAGAUGAUGAAACCCUGUGAGACGUCUUGGCUGGGAUGUCUGCUCAGACUUCCAGCAGUAGGUGACCUUCUGACUCAGAGCUCCGCUGCUGGGAAAUGCCACCAGAGCUUUCCUCUCUGUGUCUCCUGACAUCCAGGGUGUGCAGCUAGGCAGAGUCUUUCUGUGAAGCACAUGCUACCACUAAAACUCAUGAUCCUCCUGCCUCAGCAUCCAGAGAACUGGGAUCAUAGGCACACCCAUUGUACAUGUUUCUUUUUGUUUGGUUGUUUUGGUUUUUUGAAACAGGAUCUCUCUGUUCUGCCCUGGCUACCCUGAAAGUCGCUCUGUAUACCAGGCUGGGGUUGAACUCAAAGAUCUACCUGCCUCUGCCUCCUGAAGGCUGUGGUUAAAAGCAUGCAGCACCACCACCUGGCUGUACAUGGUUCUUAAACAUGGUAACUUUACCCACCCUUCUACUCUGCUGUGCCUGCUAACAGUAUCGAUGUGGCCAUUCUCAUGGUCACCAGUCUCCAUAUCAAGGUCUAGACUCAAAAAGAACCCCCCAGGUCACAUUAUUCAGCCAUCUUAUUUUUGAAUGAACAAAUUGAGGCCCCAAGAGGGAAAGAGAUUUGUCCGAAGUUGCAUAGGAUGGUAAAGCAGGGGCUGAGCUGCAAGACUGGAAGUUCGGUUGCUGUGCUGCCCCUGGCAGCAUGAUAAGACCCCAAGGCUAAACAUCUGAAAUCAGCCUGUCAUGCGUUUAUAGUCCUGACAAAACUUUGGUCUGAGUGAAAUAACGAAAGGCAGUCCAGAGGCUGAGUUGUGAUCUUCUGAGUCACGGAGGUCUGGGCUCACAUCCAGAACUCACAUCCACAUGAUGAGCUGUGUAACCCCAAGUCGGUGAUGUAACCGAGCCCAGCAUCAGCUCCCACAUCUCAAAACGAGAUGGAGCACGUCCUCAUCUCAGGACCAUCAUGGAGUUGCAAUGGGGGGGGGGAUGCGCAUCAAGAAUUCCACCCAGUGCUUGCCUCAAAGUAGAUUUCAGUCCUUCACAUUGUUUGCGGGCUCUCCAACUUUUCUCCAAUAGACUCCACCUCUGUCUGGCCAGAGCGGUAGGUUUACAAAAAAAGAUGGAGAGGGACUCUCAGGAGUGAGCAAGAACAAGGUUGUAAAGAUGAGGUGUCAUUAGUGAGGGGCCGAGGUGGAAUUCAGUGGUACAAGGCUUGCCCUGCAUAAGGGAAUUCUAGGUUCGUCAGCUAAGCCUUUGGCGUGAGAUCUGCUGGGUGGAUCUGCAGAUCUGCUGGGUGGAUCGGCAGAUCUGCAGGAACUUAGCUGCCCUCUGCUGAUGACAUGGCAGCACCUUGGGCUUUCCAGGAGGAGGCCUUAGCCUUGUGCACCCUUUCCUACACAGGUAACCAUGGCCUGCCUCCCUGGGGGCUGGGCCCCUGAAAGGGGAGAGUUCUCACUCACCCUGUAACCACGCUGGAUGUGUCACACACGUUUUCACCUAACCCUCACAAUCGUCUCUGGGGUACACCAUUAUCGUGACUGUUUUUCAAAAGAGGAAACAGGUUCAAAGGUCACUUGGCUAGGGUAGUAGUCAUUAGUGCUGUUCCUGUAUUUCCCGAACUCUGCCUUUCCAGCACAGGGCUCAGGACUACAUGUCCUUACUCCUCUGAUAGUGAGGGACCAUGUGACUUGAACCAAUAAAAAGUGAAGCUUUGGGAGGCACUGCCACUGUCACACCUGUACUGUUCACAGAGCAAAGAUGAGAAAUAAACUUUUCUUGUGAUCAGCG
ensembl:processed_transcript Gm15850 predicted gene 15850